UGGGGAAUCUUGGACAAUGGGGGCAACCCUGAUCCAGCCAUGCCGCGUGAUCGAUGAAGGCCUUAGGGUUGUAAAGAUCUUUCAGCGAGGAAGAUAAUGACGGUACUCGCAGAAGAAGCCCCGGCUAACUCCGUGCCAGCAGCCGCGGUAAUACGGAGGGGGCUAGCGUUGUUCGGAAUUACUGGGCGUAAAGCGCACGUAGGCGGAUCAGUUAGUCGGGGGUGAAAUCCCGGGGCUCAACCCCGGAACUGCCUUCGAUACUGCUGGUCUGGAGGUCGAGAGAGGUGAGUGGAAUUCCGAGUGUAGAGGUGAAAUUCGUAGAUAUUCGGAGGAACACCAGUGGCGAAGGCGGCUCACUGGCUCGAUACUGACGCUGAGGUGCGAAAGCGUGGGGAGCAAACA
rnacentral:rRNA from 1 species